rnacentral:lncRNA from 1 species
GCCAGGUAGGAGACCUGCGCAAACUCCCUGUGCUUACCGGGGGGCUAAAGAGACGGGCAGGGGCACAGUGUUAUGCUAGUGUGCGCACGGUGUCUCCAGUGCGGGUGCAUAGCCCGGUACGGUACAUACCAGCUCUUCAUAUUAGCCGGGCUAGAGUGGGCAUCGAGCCAAGUAAGGUUGUGCAGGCUCGGUGCUCAAGAGCCCCAGUGCGCCUGCACGGUCCGGUCUAUCCAGUGCCACCUCCACACACAGUCCUCCGGUAGCAGCUCCCCGCACCAGGCUUCCUGUGCGUGUCCUCGGUUCAGUACCACCAGUUCCAGCACCACGCACCAGGCCUUCAGUGCGCCUCGCCUGUUCAGCGCAGCCAGCGCUUUCCUCCUCUCCUGCGCUGUUGGAGUCCUCCGCCUGUUCAGCGCAGCCAGAGCCUUCCUUCUCUACAGCGGUGUUGGAGUCUCCCGCCUGUUCAGCGCAGCCAGCGCUUUCCUCCUUUCCUGCGCUGUUGGAGUCUCCCGCCUGUUCAGCGCAGCCAGAGCCUUCCUUCUCUACAGCGCUGUUGGAGUCUCCUGCCUGUUUAGCGCAGCCAGAGCCUUUCUCCUCUUCUGCGCUGCCGGAGCCUCCCGCCUGUUUAGCACAGCCAGAGCCUUCCUCCUCUACAGCGCUGCCGGAGCCUCCCGCCUGUUAGCGCAGCCAGAGCCUGUUCUCUCUCCUGCGCUGGCCGGAGCCCUGCCUGUUCAGCGCAGCCUGAGCUGCCAGACUGCAUGGAGCAGCCUGAGCUGUCAGUCUGCAUGGAGCAGCCUGAGCUGUCAAUCUGCAUAGAGCUGCCAGUCUGCAUGGAGCAGCCAAAGCUGCCAGUCUGCAUGGAGCAGCCAGAGCUGCCAGUUUGCAUGGAGCAGCCAGAGCUGUCAGUCUGCAUAGGCUGCCAGUCUGCAUGGAGCAGCCAAAGCUGCCAGUCUGCAUGGAGCAGCCAGAGCUGCCAGUUUGCAUGGAGCAGCCAGAGCUGUCAGUCUGCAUAGAGCUGCCAGUCUGCAUGGAGCAG